AUGGGCGCAAGCCUGAUGCAGCCAUGCCGCGUGUGUGAAGAAGGCCUUCGGGUUGUAAAGCACUUUCAGUCGUGAGGAAGGUAGUGUAGUUAAUAGCUGCAUUAUUUGACGUUAGCGACAGAAGAAGCACCGGCUAACUCCGUGCCAGCAGCCGCGGUAAUACGGAGGGUGCGAGCGUUAAUCGGAAUUACUGGGCGUAAAGCGCAUGCAGGUGGUUUGUUAAGUCAGAUGUGAAAGCCCGGGGCUCAACCUCGGAAUAGCAUUUGAAACUGGCAGACUAGAGUACUGUAGAGGGGGGUAGAAUUUCAGGUGUAGCGGUGAAAUGCGUAGAGAUCUGAAGGAAUACCGGUGGCGAAGGCGGCCCCCUGGACAGAUACUGACACUCAGAUGCGAAAGCGUGGGGAGCAAACAGGAUUAGAUACCCUGGUAGUCCACGCCGUAAACGAUGUCUACUUGGAGGUUGUGGCCUUGAGCCGUGGCUUUCGGAGCUAACGCGUUAAGUAGACCGCCUGGG
rnacentral:rRNA from 5 species